CUCAGUGAUCCAGCCCAGACCACCCACCCACCGAUUCCACAGCACUCACACGUGAGACACAGACUGCCCUGGGGCACGUCUGAAGGGGAAGAAGCAAACAACACUCCCAGAGCAGAAAGCGUUCAUCACUAUCAACACGAACAGCGCACACGAAGGCACAGCUACGAUCUAGCACUGGGAUCCCAGACCUGACGGAGAUACUGAGGGAAACCCUGAUCAUGGAAUAUGGCUUGUCCCUCCGACUUGCCUCGAGGCUCGAAGGCCUGCAGUAUCUCUCCGGGUUGCAGGACCGUGUAAUUCCCACAGACGGC